GACGAACGCUGGCGGCGUGCUUAACACAUGCAAGUCGUACGGUAAGGCCCUUUCGGGGGUACACGAGUGGCGAACGGGUGAGUAACACGCGAGUAACCUGCCCACAACUUUGGGAUAACGCUAGGAAACUGGUGCUAAUACUGGAUAUGUGCUCCUGCUGCAUGGUGGGGGUUGGAAAGCUCCGGGGGGUGGGGAUGGAUUCGCGGCCUAUCUGCUUGUUGGUGGGGUGGUGGCCUACCAAGGCGGCGACGGGUAGCCGGCCGGAGGGGGUGACCGGCCACAUUGGGACUGAGAUACGGCCCCGACUCCUACGGGAGGCAGCAGUGGGGAAUAUUGCACAAUGGGCGCAAGCCCGGUGCAGCAACGCCGCGUGCGGGAUGACGGCCUUCGGGUUGGAAACCGCUUUCAGCAGGGACGAAGCUUUUUGUGACGGUACCUGCAGAAGAAGCACCGGCUAACUACGUG
rnacentral:rRNA from 1 species